ACCUGCGCCGCCAUUUCGCGUUCGGUCAGGCCGCCACAAAUUUGAAUCAGCCGAUCUGAUAACGUGGAUUUACCGUGGUCGAUAUGUGCGAUGAUAGAGAAAUUACGUAUGUGCUUCAUUUAUAUGAAUUUUUUCGCGUAAGAUAACGUUGAAGACUUGUUGAUGGUAACGGAUUCAGCCACGUUGUUUAUAUCUCCCAUCAAUAUUGAGCACGCAUCUUACACUGUUACCCUGCUUCACGAAAGAAUUCACGCAGAUAACAAUGCAUCAACCUGAUACGUUUCAUCGCGGCCAGCAGAGCCCCGAAAGACGCAAAGACACCCUGCCACAGCCAGGCAAGGCAAUGGCGUAAGUGUGUUAGCUUUCGGGUAUCUCAACGCGCAGGGCAUCCGGUGGCAGGGCAACGCUCAGAAUAACAGGUUGGAAAUCCGCGCGGUGUCCGACUAAGGCGGCAAUCCCUUUAGCCACGAUGAAUCCGCCGAUGCCGCCCAGCAGCGCGCCACAGGCGGCCGCCAGGUCGCUAUGAAAAAGCAUCUGAAAAAGGCCGGCGAUGAUAAACAAUCCGGCAAGCGGCGUCAUAUAAACCAGCAGCGCGGAACCUAGCAGGCUCUUUUCUGCAAUACCCAGUUCGAUACGUUGCCCGGGCUGCAGCGGUUCAGGGCUGUUAAUUUGCAUUACGUGGGCGUUUUUCGGCCCAAGCUUGUUCAGCAGAUGGCUGCCGCAGCCCUUGCGUGCCGAGCAGCGGCUGCAGGACGUUUUGAUUUCAGAGUGCAGCGUUGCCACACCGUUGUGCCAGGCCACCACCGUGGCCCAUUCUCUCAUCAUGGCUGCGUUCCCAGAGAUACGCUGUCUGCAAUUCGU
rnacentral:ncRNA from 1 species